GAGGCAUUUUGAGAAGUCACGUGGUCAAGUACAGCCGUUGGGUUAACAGAGGACCUGAAGGACAUGAGUGUUGCUGAGUCUCCCCUCCUCUUCAGUUUGCUCCUCAAUUCAUGUGCAUUGGGUGGAAAGCAAGAGAGAUAUUUAUUCCUGUCUGCACGAUG